GCUUCACCGGUCUUCCUAAAGCCCCUUACAGAAUUCAAUGAUCCAUAUGGUGAGUGACCACUGAUAGUGAAGAGCUUUUCAAACAACUUUGGAACACCUAUUUUGAAUCAUGGGAAUUCAAUCAGAGAAGAUAACGAGGGAUCAUGGGGAAUGGGAGUUUCUAUGUCCUCUACACAGCCUUCAAUCGCAACAAGCGACUCCCUUGGCUUAAUCAUAGACAAAUUGCAAUGAGUAUGAGCUAGUCUAUCCGGAAGUUUCACUUCUCCAAACUCUUCACUUGUCAGAUCAAACGAAACAAUCAAAUUUCCAUACCAGUCUCCACCACCAACCCUAGGAAUAGCAAGCCAAUAAACAACUCCACCUACAACCACCUGUUCCUCACCAAAUAUGGUAACCUUACUCGGUACAUUGCUACUAUACACACUUCUCCAAAUCCUCGUGCUUAACGUAAAGACGUAAACACCUCCGUCCAUAUGUAUUUUUGUAUCCAUCUUAAUCUUAACAAUCUUCG
rnacentral:lncRNA from 1 species